GAAGGAGACCUCGCUGUAGGCAUGUCAGCUGUGGACUCUUGCCUGUCUUCUCUGUGGGAUACUUGGGACAGUCUCAUGAUCCUACAAGAGGGCAGACAUGAGCCAGCUGAAAGAAACAUCAAACAGAGCCCCAGGAAUAAACGGCAAAACCCCUAAGGAUCCAAAAGAUCGCAAGAUUCCUCAGGCCUGCCUAGAUGAUGUAAGGGGCUUCCUGGAUCUGGCUCAACAUCUUCCACACUAAACUCUUCCCUGUUCACAGAAGACCAUCAUAAAAAUGCAUUGUAGAGGCCCUGCAAGGACCAGGAUGAAGGGAGACAGUGAGGUCAAGAGCCCAGCCAUCUUUCACUGACACCCACUUCUGGGUUCUCAGGCUGGCUGACAGGUCUGACAGCCCAUCACGAAAGCCUGCAUACUCUUAGACACAAGGACUGAGCUAUGGGCUCCAGCUAGCAUCACAAUGAAGGCCACCAUUGCCUAGGGAUAAGUCCCUGUGACUUUGUGGAUAAGAACUCCGUGGAGCCAAUCCAAGGAGAGACACUAUCAUUCAUCUCUACCGGGCCUAUUAAAUUUACCUCGAAUUUGAUUCCCAGAGGAGUUGGUGCUUCACAUCAUCAGGGGGAACUUCUCCAUUGUCUUGGGAUUUCAGUCUGGGAUAGAGACUUUGAACAGCAAUAAGUUUCCUUGGUCUGGCUCAACGUCUUCUAAACUCAACAUUCCCCAGUUCAUGGAAAAUGAUCCUCAUGGGAUUCUAUUGUAAAAGCUGCAUGAUUCCUGGAGAAUGUUUUAUUGUCCUGAAGUCAACCCAAAAAUCAACACUACCAGUCAUGUUGCAGAGCUCCUUGAAUUAACCUUGAAUUCAGUUUCCAGCUGAGCAGCUGCUUCACGUUGUGAGGGGGCAAUCCUCCAUCAUCCUGGGAUUUCAUUCUGGGACACAGAGUUUGAGCAGCAAUAAGGCUGGGUCCACAUUGCCCCUCAACAGCAUUAGUGGACAUGAUUGUCAGACUUGCAAUUUCCGCAGACACCUUCUGUGAACAUUUUUCAACAUCAUCUACAUGAGUGAGAGACCCGUUCGACAUGUAAGAAUACUGCUUGACUUUGGACCUGCCUUUGUCGUGGUUCCUGCCUUUCUCAUAGAUCCCCUGCCAGGCCCAGGAUGAUAGGAGGCAAUGAAGUCAAGGGCCGAGCCCCAUUCAUUGAAAGCUGACUCUGGGGUCUCGGGUAUAAUUCCAUCACAUAAAAUCCCCUCAACAACUCACCAGACUAUAUUCCAAUCUCCAUGGAACCUGAUUCUUGCACACAGCCUCUUUCAGGAAUGGAGUCAGAAGAGCAGUCUUCAGAGACCACCUCAGUUUGGAAAAGCCUCCUCCUUCAGUGGUUCCCAGCCAUGGAGUCAUCGUGAAGGGGCUCCAUGGUCAAUAAUUUUACGGUACUGCACUUGGUUAUCACAGACAGACUUUUUCAUGAUAGCAUGCCAUCUCUGUCUAUAUCAUUUUCCUCUGCUUAGGCAGGCUGACAACUCUGACAGCCAGGGGCCCGAAUCUACCUGGCAAAUGUGCAUGCUCUACUCUCAGUGCAAAAGGCCUGUUUGGGAGUUCUGACUAGUGUCACAAUAAAUGCCGCCAUUGCCUAGUGAAAAAAAAAA
rnacentral:lncRNA from 1 species